AGAGUUUGAUCAUGGCUCAGAACGAACGCUGGCGGCGUGGAUAAGACAUGCAAGUCGGACGGGAAUUCAUUUAUAGCAAUAUGAGUGGAUUCUAGUGGCGAAAGGGUGCGUAACACGUAGCUCACCUACCUCAAUGUGGGGGAUAGCUCGGCGAAAGCCGGAUUAAUACCGCAUGUGACCCCGCGAAAGCGGGAUUAAAGCUGGGGAUCGUAAGACCUGGCGCAUUGAGAUGGGGCUGCGGCCUAUCAGCUAGUUGGCGGGGUAACGGCCCACCAAGGCUUAGACGGGUAGCUGGUCUGAGAGGACGACCAGCCACACUGGAACUGAGACACGGUCCAGACACCUACGGGUGGCAGCAGUCGAGGAUUUUUCUCAAUGGGGGAAACCCUGAAGGAGCGACGCCGCGUGGGGGAUGAAGGUCUUCGGAUUGUAAACCCCUGUCAUCCGGGAACAAUGCUCCGCACCCAAUACGUGCGGAGUUGAUAGUACCGGAAGAGGAAGCCGUGGCUAACUCUGUGCCAGCAGCCGCGGUAAUACAGAGACGGCAAGCGUUGUUCGGAUUCAUUGGGCGUAAAGGGUGCGUAGGCGGUCCGUUAAGUCGGAUGUGAAAUCUCACAGCCUAACUGUGAGCGGUCAUUCGAAACUGGCGGGCUCGAGGACUGGAGAGGAGACUGGAAUGGUCGGUGUAGCAGUGAAAUGCGUGGAGAUCAAGAGGAACACUCGUGGCGAAAGCGAGCUACUGGACAAUAUCUGACGCUGAGGCUCGAAGGCCAGGGUAGCGAAAGGGAUUAGAUACCCCUGUAGUCCUGGCAGUAAACGGUGUGCGCUUGGUGUGAGGGGAAUCGACCCCCCUUGUGCCGGAGCUAACGCGUUAAGCGCACCGCCUGGGAAGUACGGUCGCAAGACUAAAACUCAAAGAAAUUGACGGGGACCCGCACAAGCGGUGGAGUAUGUGGCUUAAUUCGAUGCAACGCGAAGAACCUUACCUAGGCUUGACAUGCAUCUCUAAGCACGUGAAAGCGUGUGACCCUUCGGGGGAUUUGCACAGGUGCUGCAUGGCCGUCGUCAGCUCGUGUCGUGAGAUGUUGGGUUAAGUCCCGCAACGAGCGCAACCCUUGUGACUAGUUGCCAGCACGUUAUGGUGGGAACUCUAGUCAGACUGCCCAGAUCAACUGGGAGGAAGGUGGGGACGACGUCAGGUCAGUAUGGCCCUUACGCCUAGGGCUGCACACGUACUACAAUGCCCAGUACAAUGAGAACCGAGACCGCGAGGUGGAGGAAAUCUAUAAAACUGGGCCCAGUUCGGAUUGGAGGCUGCAACUCGCCUCCAUGAAGUUGGAAUCGCUAGUAAUGGCGCAUCAUCUACGGCGCCGUGAAUACGUUCCCGGGUCUUGUACACACCGCCCGUCACAUCAUGGAAGCCGGUCGCACCCGAAGUGCCUGCGCCAACCGCAAGGGGGCAGGGUCCUAAGGUGUAGCUGGUAACUGGGAUGAAGUCGUAACAAGGUAACCGU
rnacentral:rRNA from 1 species